UGAGGAAUAUUGGUCAAUGGACGAGAGUCUGAACCAGCCAAGUAGCGUGAAGGAUGACUGCCCUAUGGGUUGUAAACUUCUUUUAUAUGGGAAUAAAAUGUUCCACGUGUGGGAUUUUGUAUGUACCAUAUGAAUAAGGAUCGGCUAACUCCGUGCCAGCAGCCGCGGUAAUACGGAGGAUCCGAGCGUUAUCCGGAUUUAUUGGGUUUAAAGGGAGCGUAGGUGGAUUGUUAAGUCAGUUGUGAAAGUUUGCGGCUCAACCGUAAAAUUGCAGUUGAAACUGGCAGUCUUGAGUACAGUAGAGGUGGGCGGAGUUCGUGGUGUAGCGGUGAAAUGCUUAGAUAUCACGAAGAACUCCGAUUGCGAAGGCAGCUCACUGGACUGCAACUGACACUGAGGCUCGAAAGUGUGGGUAUCAAACAGG
rnacentral:rRNA from 1 species